rnacentral:lncRNA from 1 species
UUAUUUUUCUUUGAUUUUAUUUAUGUGUUUUUUAUUUAUUUUCAGAAGACUGUGCAUGCUUCUAAUGAAAAUUUGGAACCAAAAGAAGUUUCAAAAGCAGAAAGGGAGUGAGUGCUGCUAUUCCAUGCCCCAAAGGGACUUGAUUGAGAAGACUGAUUACUUGGGCCAUUUCCUGGGACGUGGAAGUAGCUGAGUUAUCCAGAAACAUUCAUAGUAAGAGGUUUUUGCCUAUGACACAGUGUUACUCUCCUUUCCCCAAAGAAGCGAACACGACCAAUUAAAUGUCCUCUGCCACUGAAUCAGUGACCAAGAAAAACUUUGUUGACUCACUGCUGGGCUUGUACCAAAGCAACAGGACAUAAUUGAAGAGAAGUGAUUUCCAUAAAUUGCCUCACAGAGGGUUUUAGGACACAGACGGGUAAGGGAUGAUGUGCAGGGAUUCUUGCUUCUUUCCUUAUGUAAUAAUGAUUAAAACAGCAGGAACAGACCCUGGGCACAGCCCUUGCAGGCAGUGAACACCCAAGUCUGAUAAUAACUUGAAACGUACACAGUGCCAUCCAAUAAGAGAAACGCUGAGGGCAGUUGAGAAAAAAUUACAUCUAGUGUUGUUUCAUGAAGUGCAGGUUCCUCUCUCCUUCCUCCUUUUUUUUUUCCUCCUCUUGGAAUUGUCAGGCUUUGUAGGAUCCUGAUUAACUAGCACACUACAAAAUUUCAUUGUUUCCCACAAAGACAUGCACAAAGCAAAUGCAGCUCAUUUGUUCCUUCUUGAUUGAGUUAAUCACUCUGUGUUGCAGUGUUGUUUGAUAUUGUUUCUCCUGUAUCUUUCCUUUGCAUUUUGUGUUUGCUUCUGCUCUUUUUCUGAGGCACGUCUCACAUAUAUGGGCUCUCAUACUUUCCUGUGUAACCAUUUCAGAGGGUUGGUUGAGAGUGCUCUGCUUUCUCUUGAGAUAUACCUUGAGCCUCAUAACCUUAGGGAAUGAUACAGUCACUUCUUGAUUAAAGAGAUUAAUGUAUGCAGGAUAAAUGGUGUGGUUACCAAUAUCCCAAAGCCAUGAUAUAUUUUGUUAUAAGAGAUGGAAACACAGUUGAAACUGCAUUAGGCAUUGCAGGGUAUUCAGUGGCUCGCCUAUCUAGACAGUGAAUUGGCACAUAAGCUUCGUCCAGGCAGGACUGGAUCUAGGGACCUGCAUAAUAUUAUCAGCACACUCUCUCUCCAUAUCUCAUCAAAGCACUCUCACAAAUAUUGGGCAGGAUGGCUCCAGACGCCUCAGACUCACAUCUUACCAGGUUGGUAUUCCAUUGAGGAUUGUCUUUCUCAGUAAAUACUGCAGACAGCUCCUGUGGAGGACUUGUUUUAUGUGGGUUGAAUCAUAGGUCUAGUCCUGAACCAAUUAUGGUUGUACAAUAUUCUGAUUGGUCAAGCCAGAGUUUGUGCUCACUCCUGUGGGGUUCAUCUCCAGUCCAACACUAAAGAAAGAACUUCCCAGUGGAAGUAGAGAACCUAUUAACAGAAAAUAGGAUGGAUUCUGAAUAGAUUAAACAUAACAGGUGUCCUUAACAUAUGGUCAAAACAAAAUGCAGUGUAAACAUAUGCAGCAAAAUUAUACUCAGUAUUUAAAAACACAUUUAUAAGUCUGUAGUCAGACAUCUUCUGUGUCAUAAUGUCAAUAAGUUAGAAGUACAAAACACACAGUAAAUUUAUUUAAAAAGGUAUGACAAGUGAGUAUAUCUUUAAAAUGGUCUUUUCCUAAGUUAGAUGAUAUUUUUGUUCCACAUUUUAAAAUGAGAUCUGAAUAGGGAAGGAAUUUAGUUAUUGCUGCACUAGCAUCCUCCCUCCUGUUUCUCAUUUCUUGGUCUUUUCAUCCUUGUAGCCCUUACUCCCUGGUAUUAUUGUUAAUAUUUCUAGCUACAUAAU